CAUCGCGACUUAGCAAACCAUGGCAAACUCCGAAUACCAGGACAGACUAUCCGGGAGACACACGGCGGGUGCUAACGUCCGUCGUGAAAAGGGAAACAACCCAGACCCGCAGCUAAGGUCCCAAAGUUAGUGCUAAGUGGAAAACGAUGUGGAAAGGCAUAGACAGCCAGGAGGUUGGCUUAGAAGCAGCCACCCUUUAAAGAAAGCGUAAUAGCUCACUGGUCGAGUCGGUCUGCGCGGAAGAUUUAACGGGGCUAAGCACUACACCGAAGCUCGGGGUGCACAGCAAUGUGCGCGGUAGAGGAGCGUUCCGUACGCCUGCGAAGGUGGAUCGUAAGGUCUGCUGGAGGUAUCGGAAGUGCGAAUGCUGACAUGAGUAACGAUAAUGCGGGUGAAAAGCCCGCACGCCGAAAGCCCAAGGUUUCCUCGCGCAACGUUCAUCGGCGCAGGGUGAGUCGGCCCCUAAGGCGAGGCAGAAAUGCGUAGUCGAUGGGAAGCUGGUUAAUAUUCCAGCACUUUUCUCAAGUGCGAUGUGGGGACGGAGAAAGUUAGGUCUACCGGGCGUUGGUUGUCCCGGGGAAAGGCGGUAGGCAUGGAUCUUUGGCAAAUCCGGGAUCCUUUAUGCCGAGCACCGAGACGAGUCCUAUUUGGACGAAGUGACUGAUACUACGCUUCCAGGAAAAGCCACUAAGCUUCAGCUUGAGAAAAACCGUACCGUAAACCGACACUGGUAGGCAGGGUGAGAAUCCCAAGGCGCUUGAGAGAACUCGGGUGAAGGAACUAGGCAAAAUGGCACCGUAACUUCGGGAGAAGGUGCGCCCUUUUUGGUGGUCACGUGCGUGACUGAGCUGAGAAGGGUCGCAGUAACCUGGCCGCUGCGACUGUUUAUCAAAAACACAGCACUCUGCAAACACGAAAGUGGACGUAUAGGGUGUGACGCCUGCCCGGUGCUGGAAGGUUAAUUGAUGGGGUCAGCCGCAAGGCGAAGCUCUUGAUCGAAGCCCCAGUAAACGGCGGCCGUAACUAUAACGGUCCUAAGGUAGCGAAAUUCCUUGUCGGGUAAGUUCCGACCUGCACGAAUGGCGUAACGACAGCGGCGCUGUCUCCACCCGAGACUCAGUGAAAUUGAAAUCGCUGUGAAGAUGCAGCGUUCCCGCGGCAAGACGGAAAGACCCCGUGAACCUUUACUAUAGCUUUACACUGAACGUUGAGUUCUUCUGUGUAGGAUAGGUGGGAGGCUAUGAAACCAGGACGCCAGUCUUGGUGGAGCCAUCCUUGAAAUACCACCCUGAAGUGCUUGACGUUCUAACCUAGGCCCGUAAUCCGGGUCAGGGACCGUGUAUGGUGGGUAGUUUGACUGGGGCGGUCUCCUCCCAAAGAGUAACGGAGGAGCACGAAGGUACGCUCAGCGCGGUCGGACAUCGCGCACUGUGUGCAAAGGCAUAAGCGUGCUUGACUGCGAGAUCGACGGAUCAAGCAGGUACGAAAGUAGGUCUUAGUGAUCCGGUGGUUCUGUAUGGAAGGGCCAUCGCUCAACGGAUAAAAGGUACUCCGGGGAUAACAGGCUGAUACCGCCCAAGAGUUCAUAUCGACGGCGGUGUUUGGCACCUCGAUGUCGGCUCAUCACAUCCUGGGGCUGUAGCCGGUCCCAAGGGUAUGGCUGUUCGCCAUUUAAAGUGGUACGCGAGCUGGGUUCAGAACGUCGUGAGACAGUUCGGUCCCUAUCUGUCGUGGGCGUUGGAGAUUUGAGGGGGGCUGCUCCUAGUACGAGAGGACCGGAGUGGACGUUCCGCUGGUGUUCGGGUUGUCUCGCCAGAGGCAUUGCCCGGUAGCUACGAACGGAAGUGAUAACCGCUGAAAGCAUCUAAGCGGGAAGCACGCCCCAAGAUGAGAUCUCCCGAGAGCUCGACUCUCCUUAAGGCACCAUCAAGACCAGGUGGUUGAUAGGUCAGGUGUGGAAGCGCAGCAAUGCGUUGAGCUAACUGAUACUAAUGAGCCGUGCGGCUUGACCAUAUAACCCCAAG
rnacentral:rRNA from 1 species